CCUAACUCCAAAAUGGCGGAUACGACACGCCAGUCAGCAAACAUGGAGACAAGUGGAAAAUCGCCAAACGACACCCUGACUAAGCUAGAUGCAAUUUUUGCUGCCUUCUGGGCCAGGAUUGCGAAGAGGACACUGAACACGGCUAAAGCUAAACGUACCACUCUUGCACCCACGCCACCGGCACUCCCAGGCCCCAAGAGCGGACGCAGAAUGAUAGCCGCCAGAGACUCCCCCAAAGAGACACCGAAAACGGGACCGGAG